AGAGUUUGAUCCUGGCUCAGGAUGAACGCUGGCGGCGUGCUUAACACAUGCAAGUCGAACGGACCCAUAUUGAAACCUGGUGAUAUAUGGGUUAGUGGCGGACGGGUGAGUAACGCGUGGGCAACCUGCCUUACACAGGGGGAUAACACUUAGAAAUAGGUGCUAAAACCGCAUAAGCGCACAGCUUCGCAUGAAGCGGUGUGAAAAACUCCGGUGGUGUAAGAUGGACCCGCGUCUGAUUAGCUUGUUGGCGGGGUAACGGCCCACCAAGGCGACGAUCAGUAGCCGGCCUGAGAGGGCGGACGGCCACAUUGGGACUGAGACACGGCCCAGACUCCUACGGGAGGCAGCAGUGGGGAAUAUUGCACAAUGGGGGAAACCCUGGUGCAGCGACGCCGCGUGAGUGAAGAAGUAAUUCGUUACGUAAAGCUCUAUCAGCAGGGAAGAAAAUGACGGUACCUGAGUAAGAAGCCCCGGCUAACUACGUG
rnacentral:rRNA from 1 species